rnacentral:rRNA from 1 species
GGUUAAGCGACUAAGCGUACACGGUGGAUGCCCUGGCAGUCAGAGGCGAUGAAGGACGUGCUAAUCUGCGAAAAGCGUCGGUAAGGUGAUAUGAACCGUUAUAGCCGGCGAUGUCCGAAUGGGGAAACCCAGUGCAAUUCGUUGCACUAUCGUUAACUGAAUACAUAGGUUAACGAGGCGAACCGGGGGAACUGAAACAUCUAAGUACCCCGAGGAAAAGAAAUCAACCGAGAUUCCCCCAGUAGCGGCGAGCGAACGGGGAGCAGCCCAGAGUCUGAAUCAGCUUGUGUGUUAGUGGAACGGUCUGGAAAGUCCGACGGUACAGGGUGAUAGUCCCGUACACCAAAAUGCACAGGCUGUGAACUCGAAGAGUAGGGCGGGACACGUGGUAUCCUGUCUGAAUAUGGGGGGACCAUCCUCCAAGGCUAAAUACUCCUGACUGACCGAUAGUGAACCAGUACCGUGAGGGAAAGGCGAAAAGAACCCCGGCGAGGGGAGUGAAAAAGAACCUGAAACCGUGUACGUACAAGCAGUGGGAGCACCUUCGGGUGUGACUGCGUACCUUUUGUAUAAUGGGUCAGCGACUUAUAUUCUGUAGCAAGGUUAACCGUAUAGGGGAGCCGCAGGGAAACCGAGUCUUAACUGGGCGUUAAGUUGCAGGGUAUAGACCCGAAACCCGGUGAUCUAGCCAUGGGCAGGUUGAAGGUUGGGUAACACUAACUGGAGGACCGAACCGACUAAUGUUGAAAAAUUAGCGGAUGACUUGUGGCUGGGGGUGAAAGGCCAAUCAAACCGGGAGAUAGCUGGUUCUCCCCGAAAGCUAUUUAGGUAGCGCCUCGUGAACUCAUCUUCGGGGGUAGAGCACUGUUUCGGCUAGGGGGUCAUCCCGACUUACCAACCCGAUGCAAACUACGAAUACCGAAGAAUGUUAUCACGGGAGACACACGGCGGGUGCUAACGUCCGUCGUGAAGAGGGAAACAACCCAGACCGCCAGCUAAGGUCCCAAAGUCAUGGUUAAGUGGGAAACGAUGUGGGAAGGCACAGACAGCCAGGAUGUUGGCUUAGAAGCAGCCAUCAUUUAAAGAAAGCGUAAUAGCUCACUGGUCGAGUCGGCCUGCGCGGAAGAUGUAACGGGGCUAAACCAUGCACCGAAGCUGCGGCAGCGACACUAUGUGUUGUUGGGUAGGGGAGCGUUCUGUAAGCCUGCGAAGGUGACCUGUGAGGGUUGCUGGAGGUAUCAGAAGUGCGAAUGCUGACAUAAGUAACGAUAAAGCGGGUGAAAAGCCCGCUCGCCGGAAGACCAAGGGUUCCUGUCCAACGUUAAUCGGGGCAGGGUGAGUCGACCCCUAAGGCGAGGCCGAAAGGCGUAGUCGAUGGGAAACAGGUUAAUAUUCCUGUACUUGGUGUUACUGCGAAGGGGGGACGGAGAAGGCUAUGUUAGCCGGGCGACGGUUGUCCCGGUUUAAGCAUGUAGGCUGUCCAGGCAAAUCCGGAUAAUCAAGGCUGAGGUGUGAUGACGAGGCACUACGGUGCUGAAGUAACAAAUGCCCUGCUUCCAGGAAAAGCCUCUAAGCAUCAGGUAACAUCAAAUCGUACCCCAAACCGACACAGGUGGUCAGGUAGAGAAUACCAAGGCGCUUGAGAGAACUCGGGUGAAGGAACUAGGCAAAAUGGUGCCGUAACUUCGGGAGAAGGCACGCUGGUGUGUAGGUGAAGCCCCUGCGGGUGGAGCUGAGACCAGUCGAAGAUACCAGCUGGCUGCAACUGUUUAUUAAAAACACAGCACUGUGCAAACACGAAAGUGGACGUAUACGGUGUGACGCCUGCCCGGUGCCGGAAGGUUAAUUGAUGGGGUUAUCCGUAAGGAGAAGCUCUUGAUCGAAGCCCCGGUAAACGGCGGCCGUAACUAUAACGGUCCUAAGGUAGCGAAAUUCCUUGUCGGGUAAGUUCCGACCUGCACGAAUGGCGUAAUGAUGGCCAGGCUGUCUCCACCCGAGACUCAGUGAAAUUGAACUCGCUGUGAAGAUGCAGUGUACCCGCGGCAAGACGGAAAGACCCCGUGAACCUUUACUAUAGCUUGACACUGAACAUUGAGCCUUGAUGUGUAGGAUAGGUGGGAGGCUUUGAAGCGUGGACGCCAGUCUGCGUGGAGCCAACCUUGAAAUACCACCCUUUAAUGUUUGAUGUUCUAACGUUGGCCCCUUACCGGGGUUGCGGACAGUGUCUGGUGGGUAGUUUGACUGGGGCGGUCUCCUCCCAAAGCGUAACGGAGGAGCACGAAGGUUAGCUAAUCCUGGUCGGACAUCAGGAGGUUAGUGCAAUGGCAUAAGCUAGCUUGACUGCGAGCGUGACGGCGCGAGCAGGUGCGAAAGCAGGUCAUAGUGAUCCGGUGGUUCUGAAUGGAAGGGCCAUCGCUCAACGGAUAAAAGGUACUCCGGGGAUAACAGGCUGAUACCGCCCAAGAGUUCAUAUCGACGGCGGUGUUUGGCACCUCGAUGUCGGCUCAUCACAUCCUGGGGCUGAAGUAGGUCCCAAGGGUAUGGCUGUUCGCCAUUUAAAGUGGUACGCGAGCUGGGUUUAGAACGUCGUGAGACAGUUCGGUCCCUAUCUGCCGUGGGCGCUGGAGAAUUGAGGGGGGCUGCUCCUAGUACGAGAGGACCGGAGUGGACGCAUCACUGGUGUUCGGGUUGUCAUGCCAAUGGCACUGCCCGGUAGCUAAAUGCGGAAGAGAUAAGUGCUGAAAGCAUCUAAGCACGAAACUUGCCCCGAGAUGAGUUCUCCCUGAGACUUUAAGUCUCCUGAAGGAACGUUAAAGACGAUGACGUUGAUAGGCCGGGUGUGUAAGCGCAGCGAUGCGUUGAGCUAACCGGUACUAAUGAACCGUGAGGCUUAACCUU